rnacentral:rRNA from 1 species
AAAUCUUGGCUGACCUUGAAAAGUUAAGCAGGAUAGGACCUGAUUAGUAUUUGGAUGGGAAACCACUAGGAAAUCCCAGGGUAUAAGAUAUA